CAUAUCUUUGUGUGUAAUAUUACAAUCAUCUGCUAUACAAUAUUAAAUCUUGGCAACACUGACCAGACUUUUGCUCAUCGCAGUUUUGAUCUGGUUGGCGACGGUGUGCCAUAUUGAAUUUUGUUGCUUCCUUGUAAAACGAAGAUUCGUCAAUUCAACCAGGGGAACCGGAAAACCGUCACGGUUUUAUAUAACCGUCAGGAAUAUGGAUACCUGGGGCGCAGCUAAAUCGGCCUGAAAUAAACAGACGUCUUCAUAAUCAAAUUGGCGAUCGUGGCCGUCAGCUGCUGAACAUUCAACAGCUCGGAAGCGGUGAACGAAGUAACGUCGGACCACAGGAUAUACGCACGGAUCAUACCGUAUUAUUGCAACAACAAAGAAGUUCAGGUGGAUUGAGAUAAUCCGUCGGAAAUCGUUGCGGGAUAACCUCGCCACAACGGGAAUCCAUUGGGGAUUCCGGCAGGAAUUCGAAUAAAAUGAAG